rnacentral:rRNA from 1 species
GACGAACGCUGGCGGCGUGCUUAACACAUGCAAGUCGAACGGAAAGGCCUGCUUUCCCUUGUGGAUUGCGGGUACUCGAGUGGCGAACGGGUGAGUAACACGUGAGUGAUCUGCCCCCAACUUGGGUAUAAGCCUGGGAAACUGGGUCUAAUUCCCGAUAGGACUGCAGGGUGGUGCCUGUGGUGGAACACGAUUUUCUAGUGGUUGGGGAUGAGCUCGCGGCCUAUCAGCUUGUUGGUGGGGUAAUGGCCUACCAAGGCGGGGACGGGUAGCCGGCCUGGGAGGGAGGACGGCAACAUUGGGACUGAGAUACGGCCCAGACGCCUACGGGCGGCAGCAGUGGGGAAUAUUGCACAAUGGGCGGAAGCCUGAUGCAGCGACGCCGCGUGGGGGAUGACGGCGUUCGGGUUGUAAACUCCUUUCGACCGCGAGGAAGCCACCUGGUUGGAAGGGUGGUGACGGUAGUGGUAGAAGAAGCACCGGCUAACUACGUG